CAUACUUUACACCUUGCUUACUGGACAAUGUUAAAUAAAGAUUUGAUAGAAAUGAACAUAGUUGAUAUAAGUCAACUUGAACCUGAAAAGCAAGCAUAGAGAAAUAAGUAAGGUAAUCUCUGACAUACAAGCCUUAAUACAGUACUCUGGCCAUAGCGCCAUGUAAACGGACAAAAACAAUUUGAAGCCAAUAAGAGAUUUAGUAAGCACACAACCUUUUUAACCUAAAGCUGAUCCACAUCUAAUGCAGAUGGCCCAUACUUAUAUGUAUGCUUGAAUUCAGACAAAAGGUGAAGAAAUCAGUAGAUGCACGCCUCUACUGUACUGUCAUAUGUGUCUAUGGUGUAACAUGCUCCAUGAAGUAAUGUGUAUAUGCUGAGCCUGUCCCCACUGUAGAAUAUUUGCCAUAAGGGUAGGUGUCCAGUAACUAUGUGAGUGAAUAGACAAUAGUUAAACUUAUAGAAU